rnacentral:tRNA from 1 species
GCGUCCAUAGUUCAACGGAUAGAACGGAAGCCUUCUAAGCUUUUAAUCUGGGUUCGAUUCCCGGUGGACGCA